AGGAGUAUUGAUCCACACGAUCACAAGGUGAGGUCCCACAAUAGACUGUCUGUAAGCUGAGGAGCAAGGAAGCUAGUCCGAGUACCAAAACCUCAGAAGCCGAGAAGCCGACAGUGCAGCCCUUCAGUCUGUGGUCAAAGGCUCUGCAUGGGAAGGUCAGGGAUUGGCAGAGUAGGAGAUGGACCUGGCUGGGCUGGGGGUGAGAGCAAUGCAGGGUCCGUCCUGUACAGCCCACUCCCUCCCCCAGGCCCUGCUGUGCUGGGGAAGGGAGGGUUGUAAGGAGGACACAGCCCCAGAUGGAGACACUAAGACAGGCCCCUGCUGUCAGAUGAGAAGACCCAGAGCAGGAAGCAGGUGUCCACCUGGUGGGGCAGCAGGAGGACAGCUGGGGAAAACACAAGGUCCCAGGUUCCCCUCCCAGACCUGCUUCUUCCAGGCUGGGGGGCCUGGGGCAGGCGAUUCCCCCCUCUGAGCCUCAGUUUGUGCAUCUGUGAAAUGGGUUGGGGGGUUGGCAAUCCCACGUUGCACGACUGCUGUGAGGGUUAGAGCUCAUGAAGACCCAGCACGCGCCUGCACACAGUAGGUGCUCACAUCAGCGAUGUCAUCCUCAUUCCCGACGUCAUCACGCGCAAGGUCUGGGAAGAUACCUGGGGGUUGUAACCGGGGUCUCAGUGGCCUUUGUCCUGCCGCUCGUCCUCCUCCUCCAAUGUCGGCGUCAGAGCAAACACAGGACAUUGGCCCAGAGAGAGGCUGAUUUCCAACACCCUGCAGGGGCCGUGGGACCAGAGCCCAAGAACAGGGGUCUGCUGAGGAGGUAAUUCUGCCCAAAGACCCCAGACUCCCACACUCCACCACACCACACUCUCGUGUCCUCCCCCAGGUCCAGCCCAGCUGCUGACAUCCAAGAAGAAAACCUCAAAACAGGGUCACAGUCUGUUUCCCAGGACUGUCUGAAGCUCCUGGCCUCAAGCCAUCACCCGCCACAGCCUCCUGAAGUACUGGGAUUCCAGGCAUGAGCCACCACG